rnacentral:rRNA from 1 species
AUUGAACGCUGGCGGCAGGCCUAACACAUGCAAGUCGAGCGAGCGGCGGACGGGUGAGUAAUGUAUGGGAAACUGCCCGAUGGAGGGGGAUAACUACUGGCAACGGUAGCUAAUACCGCAUACUAUCAGAUGAACCCAUAUGGGAUUAGCUAGUUGGUGGGGUAAUGGCUCACCCAGGCGACGAUCCCUAGCUGGUCUGAGAGGAUGACCAGCCACACUGGAACUGAGACACUGCCCAGACUCCUACGGGAGGCAGCAGUGGGGAAUAUUGCACAAUGGGCGCAAGCCUGAUGCAGCCAUGCCGCGUGUAUGAAGAAGGCCUUCGGGUUGUAAAGCACUUUCAGCCGGGAGGCGUUACCGACAGAAGAAGCACCGGCUAACUCCGUGCCAGCAGCCGCGGUAAUAC